AUCCAUGGCCAUAGGAACCUGAAAGCACCGCAUCCCAUCCGAUCUGCUCAGUUAACCAGAGUGCCGCCCAGUUAGUACCACGCGGGAAUCCUGGGUGCCGUGGGUU
rnacentral:rRNA from 1 species